CGCGCGUAGCUCAGCUGGAUAGAGUACCUGGCUACGAACCAGGCGGUCGGAGGUUCGAAUCCUCCCGCGCGCACCA
rnacentral:tRNA from 1 species